UACGGAGGGGGCGAGCGUUAUUCGGAAUUAUUGGGCGUAAAGGGCGCGUAGGCGGCCGGAUAAGUCAAAGGUGAAAUCCCUCGGCUCAACUGAGGAACUGCCUUUGAAACUGUUUGGCUCGAGUCCGGGAGGGGGUAGCGGAACUCCCAGUGUAGCGGUGAAAUGCGUAGAUAUUGGGAGGAACACCAGUGGCGAAGGCGGCUACCUGGACCGGAACUGACGCUGAUGCGCGAAAGCGUGGGGAGCAAACAGG
rnacentral:rRNA from 1 species